rnacentral:misc_RNA from 1 species
AAGUCGUAACAAGGUCUCCGUUGGUGAACCAGCGGAGGGAUCAUUAUCGAGUAUCUUUCUUACUCUAAACCCCUGUGAACUUACCAGUUUUGUUGCUUCGGCGGGCUGCGCCUCUCGACGUCUCCCUCCCCCCUCGGGGGCAGGCUGCCGUCCGGGGCGCGCUACGGCCCGCCGGGGGUCUCAAACUCUAUUAUUACGGAUAUUCUGAAGUAAAAAUAUAAAUAAAUCAAAACUUUUAACAACGGAUCUCUUGGUUCUG